rnacentral:rRNA from 1 species
GACGAACGCUGGCGGCGUGCUUAACACAUGCAAGUCGAACGGUAAGGCUCCAGCUUGCUGGGGUACACGAGUGGCGAACGGGUGAGUAACACGUGGGUGACCUGCCCUGCACUUCGGGAUAAGCCUGGGAAACUGGGCCUAAUACCGGAUAGGACCGCACCGUGAGGGUGUGGUGGAAAGUUUUUUCGGUGUGGGAUGGGCCCGCGGCCUAUCAGCUUGUUGGUGGGGUAAUGGCCUACCAAGGCGGCGACGGGUAGCCGGCCUGAGAGGGUGGACGGCCACAUUGGGACUGAGACACGGCCCAGACUCCUACGGGAGGCAGCAGUGGGGAAUAUUGCACAAUGGGCGGAAGCCUGAUGCAGCGACGCCGCGUGGGGGAUGACGGCCUUCGGGUUGUAAACUCCUUUCACCAUCGACGAAGGGUUUCUGACGGUGGACGGAGAAGAAGCACCGGCUAACUACGUGCCAGCAGCCGCGGUAAUACGUAGGGUGCGAGCGUUGUCCGGAAUUACUGGGCGUAAAGAGCUCGUAGGUGGUUUGUCGCGUCGUCUGUGAAUUCCGGGGCUUAACUCCGGGCGUGCAGGCGAUACGGGCAUAACUUGAGUACUGUAGGGGAGACUGGAAUUCCUGGUGUAGCGGUGAAAUGCGCAGAUAUCAGGAGGAACACCGGUGGCGAAGGCGGGUCUCUGGGCAGUAACUGACGCUGAGGAGCGAAAGCAUGGGGAGCGAACAGGAUUAGAUACCCUGGUAGUCCAUGCCGUAAACGGUGGGCGCUAGGUGUGGGUUUCCUUCCACGGGAUCCGUGCCGUAGCUAACGCAUUAAGCGCCCCGCCUGGGGAGUACGGCCGCAAGGCUAAAACUCAAAGGAAUUGACGGGGGCCCGCACAAGCGGCGGAGCAUGUGGAUUAAUUCGAUGCAACGCGAAGAACCUUACCUGGGCUUGACAUAUACAGGAUCGCGCCAGAGAUGGUGUUUCCCUUGUGGCUUGUAUACAGGUGGUGCAUGGUUGUCGUCAGCUCGUGUCGUGAGAUGUUGGGUUAAGUCCCGCAACGAGCGCAACCCUUGUCUUAUGUUGCCAGCACGUUGUGGUGGGGACUCGUAAGAAACUGCCGGGGUUAACUCGGAGGAAGGUGGGGAUGACGUCAAAUCAUCAUGCCCCUUAUGUCCAGGGCUUCACACAUGCUACAAUGGUCGGUACAGUGGGUUGCCAGUCCGUGAGGGCGAGCUAAUCCCGCAAAGCCGGUCUCAGUUCGGAUCGGGGUCUGCAACUCGACCCCGUGAAGUCGGAGUCGCUAGUAAUCGCAGAUCAGCAACGCUGCGGUGAAUACGUUCCCGGGCCU